rnacentral:rRNA from 1 species
AAUCUUGCGCAAUGGGUGAAAGCCUGACGCAGCCUUGCCGCGUGAAUGAAUAAGGCCUCAGGAUCGUAAAAUUCUUUCUCCGGGGACGAUAAUUACGGUACCCCGAGAAGAAGCCCCGGCUAACUUCGUGCCUGCAUCCGCGGUAAUACGCAGGGGGCUAGCGUUGCUCGGAAUUACUGGGCGUAAAGGGCGCGUAGGCGGACAUUUAAGUCAGGGGUGAAAUCCCAGAGCUCAACUCUGGAACUGCCUUUGAUACUGGGUGUCUUGAGUGUGAGAGAGGUAUGUGGAACUCCGAGUGUAGAGGUGAAAUUCGUAGAUAUUCGGAAGAACACCAGUGGCGAAGGCGACAUACUGGCUCAUUACUGACGCUGAGGCGCGAAAGCGUGGGGAGCAAACA